rnacentral:rRNA from 1 species
GACGAACGCUGGCGGCGUGCUUAACACAUGCAAGUCGUACGGUAAGGCCCUUUCGGGGGUACACGAGUGGCGAACGGGUGAGUAACACGUGAGUAACCCGCCCACAACUUUGGGAUAACGCUAGGAAACUGGUGCUAAUACUGGAUAUGUGCUCCUGCUGCAUGGUGGGGGUUGGAAAGCUCCGGCGGUUGUGGAUGGACUCGCGGCCUAUCAGCUUGUUGGUGGGGUAGUUGCCUACCAAGGCGGCGACGGGUAGCCGGCCUGAGUGGGUGACCGGCCACAUUGGGACUGAGAGACGGCCCAGACUCCGACGGGAGGCAGCAGGGGGGAAUAUUGAACAAUGGGCGCAAGCCUGAUGCAGCAACGCCGCGUGCGGGAUGACGGCCUUCGGGUUGUAAACCGCAUUCAGCAGGGACGAAGCUUUUUGUGACGGUACCUGCAGAAGAAGCACCGGCUAACUACGUG